rnacentral:ncRNA from 12 species
GGGUUCAGGGAUAGACGUUAUCUUUGGAGGAUUUGGAUGGUCGGGCCGCCAUUCG